UUGCCCUUGCCAGCUGGCUCCAUCCCUGCUGGCCAGCCUUCCAGUGACACCAUGGAGGGCUGGGUACUGGUUACAGGGGGAAGUGCAGCACACAUAAGUCACAGGCCCAGCACCUCCCCCUCGAGGGAAGUAUGAUAUCUGCCAACGUUCCUUGAUCUGGGCACCAAGUGCAUUGUGGUGUCCCCUCUUCCUUCUCCCCUUUCCCAGUCUACUGCCUGGGACACUGACGCUGCUCUAGUUUGUGGGGAGCUUCCUGCCCAUUCCGUCUGCCUAGUUGUAGAUGGUGCCAUGCUAGAGACUGCCAAGCUCAAUAAGGUGACAGCCAGGGCCGAGCAGCUGGGGUCAGGGCUUUCCGGGGCACCCUCCCUGAAUCAAGGUAAACAUUCCUGGAGCAGCCCGGGGCUCUAGAUCAAUCAGUGUCCAAGCUGAUGCUAAAGCUGCAGGGGCCAAGCCCAUCGUGGCACCUGAGCCCAAGGUCAUAGAGGGGCCCCCACACCUGCCAAAUCAGUCCCUGUUCCUGGUGAGGUGGUUCCACACCCCAGCAGCUCAGCCACUGAAGACCCCAAUCCCACUUCUGACCCCUCCCCUUUCACCUCCCCUGCUGUUGCCACCCUGAAACUGUCAUCUUCCCUUUUGUUGGGGGGCGACCCUUGGACUGUGGUAUUUGUAUUCCCCUACCUCAUUUCACUAGGGGCUGCUGUACUCCCUCUGCCACUCAUUUCUGUGUCGGGGCCAAGAAGGAUCCUGUGGUGUGGGUGAUGUUGUGCUGGGUUCUGCUACCAUUGAGAGAGGGCACAAAUGCACCAUCCGAAGGUUACAGGGCCACUUAUGGGGUCCAGCUGGAGGACAAGUGGGAGUCCGUUGGCACAACUGAAUCCAUGGAGCUCUCAGCCCUUGCCAUGCUGCUGUUUGAGCUGAACUGGUUUCUGGAAGACACACAUGGCUCCAGGGGAAAGGUGAAGCUCACUCUCCAGCAGUGAAGAGACAUUAAUCUUGUCCUCCAGGCCACAAGGGCCUUGAUGGGGUAAGGAAAAGAAACAAGCCUAACAGCAGGCUCAGAGCUACUGAGAUUCCCUGUUUACCUUCGAGAUCAACUAUGAGUUGAUGUGUGGCUCUGUGGGGCAGGUUGCACCCUGACCAUGAAGAUCCUCUGUCACAGUCACAGUAAAAAUUGCCUCCCCCAUGGAGUCCCCUGGUUGUAAAACAGUUGCAAAUUGGAAGGAGAUAAGUCACAUUUUGCCAUCAUCCAAAUUCUUGUGAAUACAUACAAUCUCUGAUGCCACAUUCAAAGCUUUGUAAAGCAAAAGUUAGUGGUUUCACACAGCUCCAGUGAAAGUGAAGAAAAAAGUGUAAGGCUCCUGGUGGAAGAGAAAGAAACUUGCUUCCUACUCCUAUCCGCCACCCCAUCUGGGAGAUGAGGGGUCAAGGAAUAUGUCUCUUGCCAAGGUCUAGUCAAUUUCUGCCAUAAAGGAGGAAUUAUGUAUAUUACAGCAUACAUAAUAACUUGUGGGAAUUCCUGUCAGAGGAGGAGCCAUCAUAGCAAUCAGAGGCACAUCCCAUAGCCUGGGAAAGAAAUUUCAUCUCUCACAUGCUUUUCACUUCAAUUUCAUCAAUACAUUUGACAUCAGGAAAUGAAGUUUAGUGAACCUCAGUAUUCAUCCUCUGAAAAGCCACUCCCCAUGUCAAAGCAAUAACUCAAAUGGAGACAAUUUCAAAAGGUUCCUCACCAGAAUUGCAAUUGUUCUUGAAAGGUGAAAAAUCCUAAUCUACUUUACUAAAGUG